UUCGAAGAUCCUCAAAUUCCCGCCAAUACUAUUCAUCACUUUCAGAUUUCUCUCUCUCUUUCUGUUCUACUCUGCUUUGAUUCUCUUAAGGAAGGCUUUUAUCACAUGGGAACUAAUAGAAAGAGAAGGAUAAAAGCCUUGGAACCACAUUCAGAAACUAAUCCGCGUGAAGGUUGUAAGGGAGUUGAUAAAUCUAGAAAGACAGUUGUGGAGCAGCAGCUUCAGGAAGCAACAGG